rnacentral:rRNA from 1 species
GACGAACGCUGGCGGCGCGCCUAACACAUGCAAGUCGAACGAGCGAGAGAGAGCUUGCUUUCUCGAGCGAGUGGCGAACGGGUGAGUAACGCGUGAGGAACCUGCCUCAAAGAGGGGGACAACAGUUGGAAACGACUGCUAAUACCGCAUAAGCCCACGGCUCGGCAUCGAGCAGAGGGAAAAGGAGCAAUCCGCUUUGAGAUGGCCUCGCGUCCGAUUAGCUAGUUGGUGAGGUAAUGGCCCACCAAGGCGACGAUCGGUAGCCGGACUGAGAGGUUGAACGGCCACAUUGGGACUGAGACACGGCCCAGACUCCUACGGGAGGCAGCAGUGGGGAAUAUUGCACAAUGGGGGAAACCCUGAUGCAGCGACGCCGCGUGGAGGAAGAAGGUCUUCGGAUUGUAAACUCCUGUUGUUGAGGAAGAUAAUGACGGUACUCAACAAGAAAGUGACGGCUAACUACGUGCCAGCAGCCGCGGUAAAACGUAGGUCACAAGCGUUGUCCGGAAUUACUGGGUGUAAAGGGAGCGCAGGCGGGAAGACAAGUUGGAAGUGAAAUCCAUGGGCUCAACCCAUGAACUGCUUUCAAAACUGUUUUUCUUGAGUAGUGCAGAGGUAGGCGGAAUUCCCGGUGUAGCGGUGGAAUGCGUAGAUAUCGGGAGGAACACCAGUGGCGAAGGCGGCCUACUGGGCACCAGCUGACGCUGAGGCUCGAAAGUGUGGGUAGCAAACAGGAUUAGAUACCCUGGUAGUCCACACUGUAAACGAUGAUUACUAGGUGUUGGAGGAUUGACCCCUUCAGUGCCGCAGUUAACACAAUAAGUAAUCCACCUGGGGAGUACGACCGCAAGGUUGAAACUCAAAGGAAUUGACGGGGGCCCGCACAAGCAGUGGAGUAUGUGGUUUAAUUCGACGCAACGCGAAGAACCUUACCAAGUCUUGACAUCCCUUGACGAUGCUGGAAACAGUAUUUCUCUUCGGAGCAAGGAGACAGGUGGUGCAUGGUUGUCGUCAGCUCGUGUCGUGAGAUGUUGGGUUAAGUCCCGCAACGAGCGCAACCCUUAUGGUCAGUUACUACGCAAGAGGACUCUGGCCAGACUGCCGUUGACAAAACGGAGGAAGGUGGGGAUGACGUCAAAUCAUCAUGCCCUUUAUGACUUGGGCUACACACGUACUACAAUGGCGUUAAACAAAGAGAAGCAAGACCGCGAGGUGGAGCAAAACUCAGAAACAACGUCCCAGUUCGGACUGCAGGCUGCAACUCGCCUGCACGAAGUCGGAAUUGCUAGUAAUCGCAGAUCAGCAUGCUGCGGUGAAUACGUUCCCGGGCCU